rnacentral:lncRNA from 10 species
CAGGCAACAGCUUUAAUCUUCAUUCCACAGGCAAUGAGGAGCCAUUGAAGGUGGUUGAGCAGGAGUGGCAUGGAGAAGUGUUGUAGGAACACUAAUCUAGCCAAAAAGCAAGAGGAUAACUUGGAGGUAGGGAGACUAGGUUAAAAAAAAAAAUUCCCCAAAUGAAUGUUAGCCACAGUGGAGAUUAUUUCGGAAGGGAGAGAAAUGAAGGGGGCUCCCUGCAGCUCUGGCCCCAAGAGAAAGGCCCCUGAAAAGAAUUGCGUGGGAGCUGCUAAAAGGGGGACCAGCUCCUCGCCUGCAUGGCCUGAUUGUUCCUUCUGGCAAAGAUGUGGGCCCACUCAUUUCUCUCCUAUUUUCUUUCCUCCAAAAAUGCUUUUGGCCUCUGGUUUCCGAAAGCUUUGCUCAGUGAGUUUAAACAGCAUCUCACAGCAUGGCCGAGCAAUAACAAAUGGCGCCUGGUGGCUCGCCUGCUGGUGGCUUAAAAAACAAUUGAUGACUUUUAAUCAGCUGAAUGAGCAUGGGACAAAUGACAGCAUGGCCUGAAUGCAGCCCAGACGUCAUCGGCUGACAUCAGUGGGGAGGAGGGAGGUGCCCUUCUGGUGAGCUUGGGAACAAACAGGAGCAGAGGCUGGCGCUUGAGGCUCCAGGAGGCAGCUCUGCUCUCACCCCAAAGCGGUUGCCUUCUUCUCUCCCUUCUGGGGAGACCAGGUGAGCCAAGGGCUGGGGCACUGGAAGACCGGGGUUCAGGGUCUCCAGAUGUCACUUGGUAACUGUAGGCAUCAGUUCCCCUCCAGACCUCAGUUUCCCCCUCUGAUAAAUGGAGGAGAUGAAGGCAAGUUUGUGUCUUCUGUUAAGCCGCCCCAUAUGUGGGAUAGCUUUAGACUGAAUCUCUAAAGGACUCAAGUGAAGGUCUGUUUAUAUAUCCUGCUCCUAUCAAAACUAUCAAAACCAUCAACACUCCCCACUGCACGGCCACUUUCCCCCACCUCCCCCUACCCACACACCAAAUGGAUACUCACCAAGCAUUCCUUUUUUUUUUUUUUUUUUUUUUUGAGACGGACUCUUGCUCUGUUGCCCAGGCUGGAGUGCAGCAGCGUGAUCUCACUGCAACCUCCGCCUCCCGGGUUCAAGCUAUUCUCCUGCCUUGUAAUCCUAGCUGGGAUUACAGGUGCGUGCCACCACACCCAGCUAAUUUUUGUAUUUUUCAUAGAGAUGGGGUUUUGCCAUGUUGGCCAGGUUGGUCUCCAACUCCUAAGCUCAAGUGAUCCACCUGCCUCAGCCCCCCAAAGUCCUGGGAUUACAGGUGUGAGCCACUGCACCCGGCC